rnacentral:rRNA from 1 species
UACGUAGGGUGCAAGCGUUGUCCGGAAUUAUUGGGCGUAAAGAGCUCGUAGGCGGCUCGUCGCGUCGGCUGUGAAAACCUGGGGCUCAACCCCGGGCCUGCAGCCGAUACGGGCGAGCUAGAGUUCGGCAGGGGAGACUGGAAUUCCUGGUGUAGCGGUGAAAUGCGCAGAUAUCAGGAGGAACACCGGUGGCGAAGGCGGGUCUCUGGGCCGAUACUGACACUGAGGAGCGAAAGCGUGGGGGAUCAAACAGAA